GUCCUGUGGAUAGCUCAGUUGGUAAAGCAUGAGAUUCGUAAUCUCAGGGUUGUGGGUUUGAGCCCCACAUUGGGCA